rnacentral:rRNA from 1 species
GAUGAACGCUGGCGGCGUGCUUAACACAUGCAAGUCGAACGAUGAAGCCCAGCUUGCUGGGUGGAUUAGUGGCGAACGGGUGAGUAACACGUGAGUAACCUGCCCUUAACUCUGGGAUAAGCCUGGGAAACUGGGUCUAAUACCGGAUAGGAGCGUCCACCGCAUGGUGGGUGUUGGAAAGAUUUAUCGGUUUUGGAUGGACUCGCGGCCUAUCAGCUUGUUGGUGAGGUAAUGGCUCACCAAGGCGACGACGGGUAGCCGGCCUGAGAGGGUGACCGGCCACACUGGGACUGAGACACGGCCCAGACUCCUACGGGAGGCAGCAGUGGGGAAUAUCGCACAAUGGGCGAAAGCCUGAUGCAGCGACGCCGCGUGAGGGAUGACGGCCUUCGGGUUGUAAACCUCUUUCAGUAGGGAAGAAGCGAAAGUGACGGUACCUGCAGAAGAAGCACCGGCUAACUACGUG